UUAACCCAUUUAACAACUCAAUCCAUACAAUUAAAUGAGUUAUGGGUUGAUCCAACCCAUUUAAUAAAAUGAGUUGGGUCAACCCAUAACUCAUUUAACCCUAAACUCAUUUGAUUAUGAGU
rnacentral:pre_miRNA from 1 species